AUUUGACUGAGGAAGGGGAGCCAUUUACACAAGAGGAGAUGGGACAGAUGCUAUCAGCUGCUGUGGAUCCAGAAAAGAAUAUCAUCUUCUAUAAAGAUUUU